GAUGAACGCUGGCGGCGUGCCUAAUACAUGCAAGUCGAGCGAAUGGAUUAAGAGCUUGCUCUUAUGAAGUUAGCGGCGGACGGGUGAGUAACACGUGGGUAACCUGCCCAUAAGACUGGGAUAACUCCGGGAAACCGGGGCUAAUACCGGAUAACAUUUUGAACCGCAUGGUUCGAAAUUGAAAGGCGGCUUCGGCUGUCACUUAUGGAUGGACCCGCGUCGCAUUAGCUAGUUGGUGAGGUAACGGCUCACCAAGGCAACGAUGCGUAGCCGACCUGAGAGGGUGAUCGGCCACACGGGGACUGAAACACGGCCCAGACUCCUACGGGAGGCAGCAGUAGGGAAUCUUCCGCAAUGGACGAACGUCUGACGGAGCAACGCCGCGUGAGUGAUGAAGGCUUUCGGGUCGUAAAACUCUGUUGUUAGGGAAGAACAAGUGCUAGUUGAAUAAGCUGGCACCUUGACGGUACCUAACCAGAAAGCCACGGCUAACUACGUGCCAGCCGCCGCCGUAA
rnacentral:rRNA from 1 species